AAAAAAAUUUUUAUAGUUUUAUGAUUUUAUUAUAAAUUUAUUUUACAUACAAAUUUUAGUAUAAAAAUUUGAUUAUUUUAAUAAUAAUUUAAUUUAUGUAGUAAUUAAUUUUAAAAUAUUUAAGAAAUUAAGAUUUAGUAAUAUUUAAAUAAAUAACAAAUUUUGUGCCAGCAGUUGCGGUUAUACAAAAAUUUAAUUAAAAUUUUUCAGUAUAUAAUAAAUAAUAUUAAAAUUAAAAUAAAAAUUAAAUUAUUAAGUAAAAUUUUAAUUUAAUAAAAUUUUAUAAUUAAUUUAUGAUUUAAUAAAUUUAUAAAAAAACUAGGAUUAGAUACCCUAUUAUUGAAAUUUAAAUUAAAAAUACUAAAAUAGUAUAUAAUAAUUUAUUGAAACUUAAAUAAUUUGGCGGUAUUUUAGUUCAUUUAGAGGAAUCUGUCUAAUAAUUGAUAAUCCACGAAUAAAUUUACUUAAUUUAAAAUUUUAUAUAUCGUUGUUAAAAAAAUAUUUUAAAAUAAAAAUAAUAUUUAAAAAUUAAAAUUAAAAAUUAAUUCAGAUCAAGAUGUAGAUUAUAAUUAAGAAUAUGAUGGAUUACAAUAAAUUUAUUUAAAUGAAUUUAUUUUUUUUAAUAAAAUAAUGAAGGUGGAUUUAAAUGUAAUUUUAUUUAAUUUAUUAAAAUGAUUAAAAAUUAAAAUAUGUACAUAUUGCCCGUCACUUUCAUUUAAAAAUUGGAAUAAGUCGUAACAAAGUAGAGGUACUGGAAAGUGUUUCUAGAAUGA
rnacentral:ncRNA from 1 species